AUUGAACGCUGGCGGCAUGCCUUACACAUGCAAGUCGAACGGCAGCACGGGUGCUUGCACCUGGUGGCGAGUGGCGAACGGGUGAGUAAUACAUCGGAACGUACCUUAUCGUGGGGGAUAACGCAGCGAAAGCUGUGCUAAUACCGCAUACGCCCUGAGGGGGAAAGCGGGGGAUCGCAAGACCUCGCGCGAUUAGAGCGGCCGAUGCCUGAUUAGCUUGUUGGUGGGGUAAAAGCCCACCAAGGCGGCGAUCAGUAGCUGGUCUGAGAGGACGAGCAGCCACACUGGGACUGAGACACGGCCCAGACUCCUACGGGAGGCAGCAGUGGGGAAUUUUGGACAAUGGGGGCAACCCUGAUCCAGCAAUGCCGCGUGAGUGAAGAAGGCCUUCGGGUUGUAAAGCUCUUUUGUCAGGGAAGAAACACCGGCUCUAACACAGUCCGGGAAUGACGGUACCUGAAGAAUAAGCACCGGCUAACUACGUGCCAGCCGCCGCCGUAA
rnacentral:rRNA from 1 species